GUUUCUAACAUUUUCAAUUGUUCAAUAAGGACUAUGGUAGCACGUCAAAAUUUACCAUCCAGAAAAGUCAAAUUAGUCAAUUACUACCUGCAUCAUGUCAAGACACAAUUGUUCGUGUGUAUGCAAAGAAACCUGAACUGGUUGGUGUGGUCUCCGACGCUUUUGUAAACUUCCAGCUUAAGACAUAUGGUAUCAAGACUCAAAUACAUGGAACACCUGAAAGCAAGAAGAAUAGGAGGUCGUCGUUGAAUGAUUCAUUUAACAUGCACUGCAAAAUUGGUGCUUAAAAUUUGUCAGCUUGCACAGGCAAUUUAUCAUGCCUGUAUUUGUUUUCUUUAAUUGAUGAGCUCAAAUAAUGUCUAUUUCAAUUUUUGCUGGAAUAUAGCACAUUUAUAUCAAUAUGUUGCAUCAUAAUUUUUUGGAUUUUCUACUCUAAAAUUUUGGUCACAUUAAUGUCCACAUCAUACAUUGUACGCACUUUGAUACUGAUAGCUGAGAAAGAUAGGUUACCUGCAAAUCUCCAAUAGCUAUGCAGUAAAAUUACUGGAGUAGCUAACAUCAAGUUUUGCUAAAUGUUAAAGCAAGAAAAUUGGGGAGCUGCAUUUAUACUAGUAGGCAUUAGCACUAGUAUAUGUCUAUAAUCCACUUUCCAGUCAUUCAAAGGAGUUUUUAUAUGAAAUUGGAGUUUAAGAACUCCACUUCAAUUGUUAUAGUAUUCUAGUUGGAAUAUGAUGGAUGAUUUCUAAAAUGGUUGUAUAUGUGGAGGAUUAUGGAAAUUUCUACUCAAACUAUGGUUAUUAAAAAUUAAAAGUAUUCUUUAUUGUA